GACCCCUUGGCUGACUAAAGCAUCUGUUUUGAAAGCAGGACAAGGUUUAUUACAUAACCAGGGGUCU
rnacentral:tRNA from 1 species